rnacentral:misc_RNA from 1 species
UCCUUGCGAAGCUCGCCAAGUGGAAACAGCACGCGCUCGAACUGCUGGCGCGGCACCGCGUGCAGGAAGUAGGACUGAUCCUUGUUGGCAUCACGUGCCUUCAGCAACUGCGGACCGUCGGGGCUGGUUGCCAGGCGCGCGUAGUGCCCGGUGGCGAAGUGCGAACCGCCGAGUCGCUGCACGUAAGUCAGGCAGCGACCGAACUUGAUUUCCCGGUUGCAGAGCACGUCGGGGUUGGGUGUGCGUCCAGCCCGAUACUCAUCCAGGAAGUUGGCUAACACCUGUCGGCGAUAUUCGGCAGCGAAAUUGACCCGGUGCAGGACCAUGCCCAGUUCGCGCGCCACCGCGCGCGCGUCCUGAUAGUCGCGGGCGCCGGUGCAAUACUCGUCGGCCUCGUCCCAGUUGUCCAUGUAGAGCCCGUGGACCUCGUACCCGGCAUCCCGCAGCAGCAAAGCGGCGACCGCGGAGUCGACUCCUCCGGACAAACCCACGAUGACACGGCCAAUCGGCACACUCAUGGCGGAAUUCUAACCCGCGGCGCAUGAGGAAUGGCCGGAUCAGCAGGCGAGGAGGGUCGAGCGCAGCUACAUGUUGCCGACGCGCUGCCGGUGUUCGUCGGUGCUGGCCAGCCAGCUGGCGUCGAAUUCCUGCAGGUAUUGUCGGGCAACGGGUGGGUUGUUCAGCGAAGUGAUGCCGUCCCAGCGGUCGGCGCGCAGCCGGUAGACGAUGGCGCGAUCAUCGGCAAUGCAAUAGGCAGCGGUCUGCUGGCGCUGCUCGGCCACCAGCACACGAAUCUCCAGAUAGCUCGACAGCCGACGUGUCAUCGACACGAAGCGGUUGUUGUGCGUCAGCAUGCGGCCGGGUUCGCGCACCAGGAUGCGUACCUUGGCAAAGCUCUGACCGAGCACGAAGCGCUUGAUGGUAUUCAGGAACGCCUGCUGGUCAUAGAGCGGCGGUUCGAGAUCCGGUGAAAAGAUCGAGAUCAGUCGCUGCCCGCAGGCGGCGACUGCUUCGGUCGCGGCGCGCACUUCAUCGAGCGUCGUCACAAUGUGCAGGUCGUCGCUGAUCGGUGGCAGCGGGGCCGGUACGAACGGGACGCGCUGCGAGUCUUCCAGUCCGAAACUGGCCAGGCCCGCCGCCGUGGUGGGUCGAUUGUCGCGAAAACUGUUCACGCCGUAACUGCCGGUUGACUGACUCGGAUUUGACCAGAGUCAGGAUGGUAGGCAGCCGAUCGCCAGGUGGUUGUCUACCGGUUCACGUAACCGUCGCAGUGGAUGUGAGGCAGUUCGCAGUUCUGCCGCUGAUGCGGCAUCGCGGCGGCAGGCUGGUGCCGCAGCUCUCAGUGACCGGGCAGGGUUCUUGCCAGGCUGGCCGCAACGCCGAGGUAUUCCGCCGGGGUCAGUGCCGCCAGUCGGGCGCGUUCUGCGGCGGGUAGCGGCAGCGUGGCGACGAAUGCCUGCAGCGAAUCGCGGGUCACUUGCUGACCACGCGUAAAAUCCUUCAGCAGCUCGUAACCAUUGGGCACGCCGGCCGCGCGCAACACGGUCUGCAGGGCCUCGCCAAGUACUUCCCAUGACUGAUCCAGGUCGACGGCCAUGCGGGCGGCAUCGGGCGCCACUUUAUCGAGGCCACGGCCGAGCGCCUUCCAGCCGACCAGCGUAUGCGCCAAAGCCACGCCGAGAUUGCGCAGCACCGUGGAGUCUGUCAGGUCGCGUUGCCAGCGGGAAACCGGCAGCUUGUCGGAGAAAUGGCGCAGCAGCGCAUUGGCGAUGC